rnacentral:lncRNA from 1 species
UCAAAAGAACUAUGAGAAAAAUAAGACAAUUGUCUAGAGAGAAAAAAGUUGCAUGUUGUUAUUACUAAUUAGUACUAUAGCUGAAACCAUGCUAGCGCGGGCCAUCUUGCUAGUUCUUACAUACAAAAAACAGUAAACGAGAGCCCCUACCCAAACAGAAAAAGCCUGGUGAUCCAGUCCUCUCAUCCAAAUCCAAAUUCGUGCCAAAAUGAUUUCUAUUGGAUUUGGAUCAUACCUGUACAUACCACAUCUACUACUAUCUAUUAUCUUAAUACAACAGUGUUAAAAGAAGUCACCACAUUCGCCGAUAGGGUCUAGAAAUUCCCACAUUAAUCUAAAAAAGAGAAGAAUAUACACCGUUAAAUUUUAUGAUGAUCUAACCGUCUACAUUACUCACAAGAUUUCAUAUCGAAUACAGCUAUAAGUAUAUAAUUGGAAUUUUUUCUAAAAAAGUAAAUUAGCACAUUGUACCCGUAUGUGAUACAAUCGGAAAGAUACGGACUUCAUGCAAGAGGUGCCAAUUAAUAUAAUUUUUAUUCCC